AUGGGUAUAAAUAUCCCUCCGAUCUGAGAUUAUCAUGAUGACUUGCAAGCAAUUCACGGUACUUUGGUGCUGGACUAUCUGAAUUUCUAAUUAGAUCGAAAAGUUUUUGAGCACAGUCAAGUACUUAUAAAGUCGGUUCGUGAGUCAAGAUGGGAUUGACUACUCCAAGAAAUUAGAAAGAGUACUUUGUGUUUCAAUUUAGUAAGACCUUGAUCAGAACAAUCCUUGUGAGAAGUCAUAUUAUUUAUUAGAUUGAGACACAUAAUAGAUAUACUAUUAAGGGUUAACAAUUUAAACUAUAAGUUAUCCUGAGCAUCAAGGGUCAAAGGGAUGAAUUAUACGGUAACCAUAUACCAAUAGGUUCUGAGUAUUGCUUUCUUGCAUACAUUCGGCUUAUCCAGACGUCAGAUACCAUUACUAGAUGGUUAUUUCAAUUGGUACAAAAAUUUGUUUCUGUGCUACCGGCUUAGGUUCGAACUUAUGGAGUCACACACAUUAAAAGUUCCUCUCUGAUCAAUUGACAGAUCGAUGAUUGAGAAUCAUUCAAGGAUAAAAUCAUCGAUACGAUUGAUGAUUAACCUUGUGCAAUAGUUGCAAUAACAUUAUUCGCUAAGUGUUAGUGAAAUUUGAGAGAAUUAAUUAGCAAUUAGAUUGCUAAUUAGCUCAAUAUGAUGGAGCAUUAAAAGUCUAGAUCAAGUAUAAUUGAAUUAAAUUCAAUUAGGUCAAACCCGAUUGGUUAUGAGAUGAUCUAAUCGCUAAGGAAGAAUUAAUCUUAAUUUGAUCAAGAUUAUGUCUCAGUUAAUUUUCUAAUUUGAUCAUGAUUAAUUGAGAUUAUAGAAGCCUAAUUGGAUUAGGUUCAUCAUGAUUUAUUUGGGUUUAAAUGUAUUGGGUUUGGAUGAAACCUAAUUAAGAACUUAAUUGGCUAAACCUUAGAGUCUAAUGUGACUGGACUUUCUCCCUUGCGCCUUCCCUUCUCUCCAUGCCUUAUUUCAUCAUACAAAUUGGUUUGUGCGCUGAAUAUUUCAUGCCAAAUCCCUUUAGUUAUCGCCCUUUUGGGAUUGGUAGAGUUGGUUUUAUUCAAAGUUUUGAAUUUGAUUCAAACUCAAAGUCCUUAUCCCUAUUAAACUCCCACCUGUCGGUUCCUUAUGAAGAACUUAUGAUUUAUGCGAUAAAAAGGAGUUGCUCUUAUUUUUUUUCAUGCCAUUUACCUCUGGUCAACCUCUCUUUUAUCUAAUAUAGGAUGGGGAUAAGCAGUGAUUAGUUUGAAUUCAAAACAAAUUUGAAUUUAAACUUAAAUGUAUCCUUAUCUUAUCCUACUCCCUUGGUUUGGCAAUCAUUAAAAGAGAUGUUUUUUACUGUGCGCCAACCCAAGUGAAGAAUACCACCAUAAGAAAUCAGAUAGAGAGGGAUUGAAUAUCCUUGUGGGGCAUGAGAUUUGGGAUGGUUUUCUAUCAGCAUUGGAGGAGAUCAAUCUUCUCUUGGGUGAGAGAUCUAGAAUCAUUCUAAGAUUUCUGGAUGAGAGAAAAAUUGAAAAGAAGAGAGUAUUCAUCUGAUUUUCCUCCACCAUCCAGCAACCUCCGUUGAUCCAUCUUCUAUAUCAAAAGGGUUCAAGUUGAUCAAAGAAGAAAAUCAAAUCAGAUCUACCAUUAAAAGCCGUUUAUGCAAGCUAGCACUCCCGCAGAAGGUUGAUCCGUUCGAGAACUUCGUGUGAACAAUCCGUAGAGCCCAGACACCUUGUGCUACUACGAGCGACCAAUAGAAUCUCUGAUCCAUGAGUUGCAGUUGCAGUGCUCAUCUACCCAUGCUCUGGUAUAGGGUUCGGAACCCUAGUAGCUGUAGAUAUAAUCCACAGCAUGUGCAAAUUUUUAAAUAUGCGUGCAGAUUUUAUGUUCAAAUUUUAUUCAUGCAAUAUGUAUCAUGUUAUACAUUCUAGAAUAGGUGAUUUAGAUUUGAUCUAAAGCAUAUAUUUAGAUUAAAUUGUUUAAGCUUCUAUGAUCCGCUGUGAAAAAUUUUCAAAAUGCAUGUUUGAUUCGCCUGCUGUAAUCCUUCAACUCUCACUUAGAGAACCAUCUUUUGAUAUGUAAGUAAGACUUUUAUAAGAUAUUCUCUGUCAGUAAGUCAAUUCAAUGGACUCAUUUUCAAAUGAUCACCUAUAUUCUUAUAUUAGUGUUCUCACACAAAUGGCUAGUAAGAUCAAUCAUCCUCUCUAUCGAGCAUACAUAGAAUGUGCCAGUUUUUUUGAAAUAUUAAUCUCCGACUCAAUGCUCCUACAAUCAAGAAUGUUUAAGAUUAGAAUUUUAGGAUUUUAGAUCUCACAGGCAUGACUCAUUUAUGUCUCCAAAAAUUAUUGUCUUAAUCUUUGAGAUUCAUUAUAAUCUUAAACAAAGUAAGAUGCCGCUAAAAUGAUGAAUCAAAUACUUCAUUUCAUUAUCAAAUAAAAAAUAUCAUUAUAUAAGUUGGAAGUUUACAAAGAAAUAUCCCAUCACUUGCGAUUGGCUUAUAGAGCACUCUUCUUUGAAUCUCUCACUUGCACUAAAGCUAAUCGUCUUUGUAUUUCAAUUCCAUGCAAGCAAGAUGGCGAUCAAAUAGCUACUGUGAUAUGGCCUUAGUGAAUAGGUCUACUGUAUUAUUCUUAGUGUUUACUCAUUCAAGGACAACAUCUUGUCGCUCUACAAUUUCUCGAACGAGGUAGAAGCAUCUGAAGAUAUGCUUGAAUCUUUGAUGAGGCCUAGGUUCCUCAGCUUGAAUAACGGCCUCAGUGUUAUCAUAAUAGAGUGGCAUUGGUCUUUCAAUCUUAGGAAUGACUCCUAAUUCUAUGAUGAACUUCUUCAUCUAAACAGUUUUCUUAGCGGCUUUACUAGCAACUACAUACUCUACCUCAGUUAUUGAGUCAGCUACUGUCGACUGCUUAGAACUCUUCUAACGUACUGCUCUACCAUUUAGGAUAAAUACAUAUCCUGAAAUCAACUUACUAUCAUCGAGAUAAAAUUAAAACUAGAAUCUGUAUAUUCCUCUAGUUUCAACUCUGAUCCUCCUCCAUAUAUUAGAAAAAUAUCUUUAGUUCUCCUUAGGUACUUGAGAAUGUUUUUCACAGCUUUCCAAUGAUUCUUUUCUGGAUCAGUCUGAAAUCUGCUAGCUAUAUUUAAAGCAUAAGCUAUAUCAAGCAUGGUACAUAGUAUAACGUACAUUAUUGAUCCCACAGCCGAAACAUAAGGAAUUUCACUCAUUCUCUUCCUCUCCUUUGGUGUCUUAGGACAUAUUUUUUUGAAGAGACAUAUGCCAUGACUUACAAGCAGGUAACCUCUCUUACUUGCCUCCAUAUUGAACCUCUUUAAAAUGAGAUCUAUAUCGAGAUUGCGAUAAGCCUAGCAUUCUCUUAGAUCUAUCUCUAUAGAUCUUUAUAUCUAGUAUAUAGGAUGCUUCAUCCAAAUCUUUCAAGAAAAACUUAUUCGAUAGCCAAGUUUUGACUCAUUGUAUCAUUAAGAUAUCAUUUUCAAUGAGCAGUAUGUCAUCGACAUACAGAAUAAAAAAGACAAUAAUAUUUUUAUUUAUCUUUUUAUACACAUGGUUCAUCCUCAUUUUUGAUAAAGCCAAACUUUUGACUGUCAUAUCAAAUCAGAUGUUCCCACUCUUCGAAGCUUGCUUCAAUUCAUAGAUGGAUUUUUUUAACUUGCAUACUUAAUUUGCCCUCCUACUUGAGAUAAAUUUCUCUGACUGAGUCAUAUAGACUUCUUCCUCAAGAUUACUAUUGAGGAAAGCAGUUUUGAUAUCCAUCUGUCAGAUCUCAGUCGUAGUAUGCAGCUAUAGUAAGCAAAAUUCGGAUGAACUUGAGCAUAGUCACCGGUGAGAAGGUUUCAUCAUAGUCAAUUCUUUAUUUUUGUCUGAAAUCCUUCAUCACCAAUCUAGCUUUGAGGUUUUCAUUUGGCCAUCUGCUCCGAUCUUCUUCUUGAAGACCCACUUGCACCCUAUUGAGGUCACACCCUUAAGCACAUCAACCAAGGUCUACAUUUGGUUGGUGUACAUAGAUUCUAUUUUGAAUUUUAUGGCUUCCAGCCACUUGUUUGAAGCUCUACUCAUGACUGUUAGAUGUAUGUCCUAGAAGCUAAUAUGGCUGACACAUUAUAAUAAAUUUAAGACAUAAUUUUGUACUUAAUAUAUUGAUAUGAUCAAUAAAAGAACAAGUUUCUUUUCAUUCAAGUAUGAAGUGUCCUUGAAUCAUCUAUAAAAUUAGUUUUGAUAUAUAUUCUCAAGGUGUUGAGAAUUAGAGACAUGUAUUUNNNNNNNNNNNNNNNNNNNNNNNNNNNNNNNNNNNNNNNNNNNNNNNNNNNNNNNNNNNNNNNNNNNNNNNNNNNNNNNNNNNNNNNNNNNNNNNNNNNNNNNNNNNNNNNNNNNNNNNNNNAAUUCAUAAAUACUCUCGAUCAUAGGAUCAUCAUGAGGACGGUGAUAGAUUCGAAUAGACUGGUGCACAAAUCGCUUUCUUUGAGAUAGAUGAAAUCUAUGAUCUACUGUGUAGAGACACAGGACGACGAGUAUGGGUAGUUGUUAGAGAACAACUAGUACUGAGUAUGACCAUAUGAGAGAUCACUUGGAUUUCUAUUCGAUCGUUAAUGAUUAUCUCGAUGCUGUAGUUGUGUGACUAGUCCUUUGACUUGAGAUGGUACUGCUACUCGCAGUGAGGCUACUGAUGUUUGACUGACACAUAAAUAUGGAUCUCAAUGAGCCAUUGUAGUGGAUGUUGGUGACAGUUGGUCCACUAUAGGGGUAGGGUGUGCAUCAAGAUAAGAUUUAUCGAUCUUGAUAGAGAUGAAUAGUCCUAUAAAAUUUGAGAGGUUAAGUCCAAGAGUCUGUGACCACUGCAGUGUGAUUGAUGGAAAAGAGUUUUCAUGGAAGUCACAACUGGACUUGAGCUAAUCGAAUCUAUUAUAUGACUGAUGCUGAGGUUUGAUGAUUUAUCCAUGACCUGCCAUCUAGUCGGGACUCACGAUAAAGAGAUUGAAUCAUAUGUUAACUAUACCUAAAAGUUCAUUUCAGUUCUACUGGAUUCUCACUAUAUACUACUAGAUGUUACUGAUGGAUUGUGAGAGCUCAUUAGGAUUGUUCUAGAUCGACAAUCCUUACUGAGUUAGAAUGAAAUUGUUCUGAUCCAUUAAAAAGAGUUUCAAUGAUACGAUGAUAGAGAUCAAUGUAUGUCUCACUACCAGAUAGGAUUGAAUCUACGGGGUUACACAAUAAAAGAAUUAGAUCUGAAAUAAGUAAUUGAGCUUAUAAAGUGUUAAUUGGAUUUAGAGAAAUCCAUUGGGUUCAUGAUAACAUUGCUAGCACAUGCUUGGAUCUAAUUCCUCUUUUCAUUGGGAUUACUUAUUUGAUAAAAUAAUUUUAACUUAAUUAUCUGCUAAUAAUCUAUAUGAAUAAGAUUUAUGAGACUCCAAUUAUUGAGUGUCUAAGGUUAUAGAUCAUAUAAAUUAAGGGUACAAGUCUCUAAUUAAUUUUCUUGAUAGUUAUUCUUGGGCAUCACCUUGAUUUGAUCAAGUUGGGCGUGUCCAUUGAUUAGAAGACUUUUAGUUCUCCUAUGAGGCAUCUCUUAGGUGUGUUUUGGGGUAUCUAAUUAUGGAUGCAAGGGCUUCAAUUGUUGGCGUCUAAAGGUGUUGGGAAUAGUGUCCCAAAGCCAAUCGUCAGCUUGUUGACGGUUGUGCUCUUUCUUGUAUUAGUAUAUGAAUUAUAAAUUAAUAAAAAGUUAUUUUAAUAUUUUUCAUCACAAAUUAUUUCAUCUUCUAAUGAACUCCUGUGUUGUGGUGAAGUCUUAGGACUAUUUAGACUCGACAAAAGAGGAUUUAUCGUUUAGUCCUUAAAUCUGUUCGCGACCAAAUAAUACGUUGUUACCAAGGACAACAACGUUUAUCAAGCAUAGGUCGUUGUGUGCCAUAUGGGUUGGUUGUCCUCUUAACCAAGGAGUGUGUAGACACUGAUAUGGCAUACAGGUGAGAUGUAAGGGUACAUUUGCACUGAACGUGAUCGACUUCGGAGCUUUUUCUGCUGUCAAGAUUUGCUCCGACGGGAUAUGGGUAUAACUGUCCCUCUGACCUGAGACCACCACGGUGACUUGCAAGCAACUCACUGCACUUAGGCACUGAACUAUCUGAAUUUCUAAUUCAGUGACGGAAGGCUGCUGGGUGUAGUCAAGUACUUGACUUGUCGGUGCGUGUGUCAAGAUGGGAUUGACCACUCCAGUUCAGGAGCUGUGUACAGUCGUGUUUCAAUUUAGCAAAAC
rnacentral:lncRNA from 1 species